AUUGAACGCUGGCGGAAUGCUUUACACAUGCAAGUCGAACGGUAGAGGGGGCAACCCCUUGAGAGUGGCGAACGGGUGAGUAAUAUAUCGGAACGUGCCCAGUCGUGGGGAUAACGUAGCGAAAGUUACGCUAAUACCGCAUACGAUCUAAGGAUGAAAGCGGGGGAUCGCAAGACCUCGCGCGAUUGGAGCGGCCGAUAUCAGAUUAGGUAGUUGGUGAGGUAAAGGCUCACCAAGCCAACGAUCUGUAGCUGGUCUGAGAGGACGACCAGCCACACUGGAACUGAGACACGGUCCAGACUCCUACGGGAGGCAGCAGUGGGGAAUUUUGGACAAUGGGCGCAAGCCUGAUCCAGCAAUGCCGCGUGCAGGAUGAAGGCC
rnacentral:rRNA from 1 species